GGCCUGGUAGUGUAAUGGUAACACACCUGCUUGCAUUGACUAGGUAUCUGUAGUAGUCUGCAGGAGUCCCUCGUUCAAUUCGGGGCCGGGUCG